UACGUAGGGUGCAAGCGUUAAUCGGAAUUACUGGGCGUAAAGCGUGCGCAGGCGGUGAUGUAAGACAGGUGUGAAAUCCCCGGGCUUAACCUGGGAAUGGCAUUGGAAACUGGCUCGCUGGAAUGUGGCAGAGGGGGGUGGAAUUCCGCGUGUAGCAGUGAAAUGCGUAGAGAUGCGGAGGAACACCGAUGGCGAAGGCAGCCCCCUGGGCUAACACUGACGCUCAGGCACGAAAGCGUGGGGAGCAAACAGG
rnacentral:rRNA from 1 species